rnacentral:rRNA from 1 species
AGCGAACGCUGGCGGCAGGCUUAACACAUGCAAGUCGAACGCACCGCAAGGUGAGUGGCAGACGGGUGAGUAACGCGUGGGAACCUUCCCUUUGGUUCAGGAUAGCUCCGGGAAACUGGAAUUAAUACUGGAUAAGAUCUACGGAUGAAAGAUUUAUCGCCGAAGGAUGGGCCCGCGUAAGAUUAGCUAGUUGGUGAGGUAAUGGCUCACCAAGGCAAUGAUCUUUAGCUGGUCUGAGAGGAUGAUCAGCCACACUGGAACUGAGACACGGUCCAGACUCCUACGGGAGGCAGCAGUGAGGAAUAUUGGACAAUGGGCGCAAGCCUGAUCCAGCCAUGCCGCGUGAGUGAUGAAGGCCUUAGGGUUGUAAAACUCUUUUAGUAGGGAAAAUAGUGAUGGUACCUACAGAAAAAGCUCCGGCUAACUUCGUGCCAGCCGCCGCCGUAA